CCUACGGGAGGCAGCAGUAGGGAAUAUUGCUCAAUGGCGGAAACCCUGAAGCAGCAACGCCGCGUGGAGGAUGAAGGUUUUAGGGUUGUAAACUCCUUUUGUUAGAGAAGAUAAUGACGGUAUCUCACGAAUAAGCACCGGCUAACCACGGGCAAGCAGGCGCGGUAAUACGGGAGGUGCAAGGGUUACUCGGAAUGAAUGGGCGUAAAGAGGGCGCAGGCGGGGUUGUAAGUCAGAUGGGAAAUCCUGUAGGCUAACUACAGAACUGCAUUUGAAACUAAGAGUCUAGAGUGUGGGAGAGGUAGGUGGAAUUCGUGGUGUAGGGGUAAAAUCCGUAGAUAUCAAGAGGAAUACUCAUUGCGAAGGCGACAUACUGGAACAUUACUGACGCUCAUGCACGAAAGCGUGGGGAGCAAACAGGAUUAGAUACCCGAGUAGUC
rnacentral:rRNA from 1 species